rnacentral:rRNA from 1 species
AACGGAGAGUUUGAUCCUGGCUCAGGAUGAACGCUGGCGGCGUGCUUAACACAUGCAAGUCGAACGAACCUUCGGGUUAGUGGCGGACGGGUGAGUAACGCGUGGGAAUCUGCCCUCAGGAGGGGGAUAACGGUUGGAAACGACCGCUAAUACCCCAUAUGCCGAGAGGUGAAAUGAAUUUCGCCUGAGGAUGAGCCCGCGUCUGAUUAGCUUGUUGGUGAGGUAAUGGCUCACCAAGGCUUCGAUCAGUAGCUGGUCUGAGAGGAUGAUCAGCCACACUGGGACUGAGACACGGCCCAGACUCCUACGGGAGGCAGCAGUGGGGAAUUUUCCGCAAUGGGCGAAAGCCUGACGGAGCAACGCCGCGUGAGGGAUGAAGGCCUCUGGGCUGUAAACCUCUUUUCUCAAGGAAGAAGAUAUGACGGUACUUGAGGAAUAAGCCACGGCUAAUUCCGUGCCAGCAGCCGCGGUAAUACGGGAGUGGCAAGCGUUAUCCGGAAUUAUUGGGCGUAAAGCGUCCGCAGGCGGCCUUUCAAGUCUGCUGUUAAAGCGUGGAGCUUAACUCCAUCAUGGCAGUGGAAACUGAUUGGCUUGAGUAUGGUAGGGGCAGAGGGAAUUCCCGGUGUAGCGGUGAAAUGCGUAGAUAUCGGGAAGAACACCAGUGGCGAAGGCGCUCUGCUGGGCCAUAACUGACGCUCAUGGACGAAAGCCAGGGGAGCGAAAGGGAUUAGAUACCCCUGUAGUCCUGGCCGUAAACGAUGAACACUAGGUGUCGGGGGAAUCGACCCCUUCGGUGUCGUAGCUAACGCGUUAAGUGUUCCGCCUGGGGAGUACGCACGCAAGUGUGAAACUCAAAGGAAUUGACGGGGGCCCGCACAAGCGGUGGAGUAUGUGGUUUAAUUCGAUGCAACGCGAAGAACCUUACCAGGGUUUGACAUCCUGCGAACCUUUAAGAAAUUAGAGGGUGCCUUCGGGAACGCAGUGACAGGUGGUGCAUGGCUGUCGUCAGCUCGUGUCGUGAGAUGUUGGGUUAAGUCCCGCAACGAGCGCAACCCACGUUUUUAGUUGCCAGCAUUUAGUUGGGCACUCUAGAAAGACCGCCGGUGAUAAACCGGAGGAAGGUGUGGAUGACGUCAAGUCAUCAUGCCCCUUACAUCCUGGGCUACACACGUACUACAAUGCUACGGACAAAGGGCAGCAAACUCGCGAGAGCUAGCAAAUCCCAUAAACCGUGGCUCAGUUCAGAUCGUAGGCUGCAACUCGCCUACGUGAAGUAGGAAUCGCUAGUAAUCGCAGGUCAGCAUACUGCGGUGAAUACGUUCCCGGGCCUUGUACACACCGCCCGUCACACCAUGGAAGUUGGCCACGCCCGAAGUCGUUACUUUAACCCUUGUGGAGAAGGACGCCGAAGGUGGGGCUGAUGACUGGGGUGAAGUCGUAACAAGGUAGCCGUACCGGAAGGUGCGGCUGGAUCACCUCCUAA